GAUUAAGAACGUAGCGAAAUGCGAUAAGUAAUGUGAAUUGCAGAAUUCAGUGAAUCAUCGAAUCUUUGAACGCACAUUGCGCCCCCUGGUAUUCCGGGGGGCAUGCCUGUUCGAGCGUCAUUACAACCCUCAAGCUCUGCUUGGUAUUGGGCCCCGCCAGUUCUGGCGGGCCCUAAAGUCAGUGGCGGUGCCUUCCGGCUCCGAGCGUAGUAAUUCUUCUCGCUCUGGAGACCCGGUUGUGUGCUUGCCAACAACCCCCAAUUUUUUAAGGUUGACCUCGGAUCAGGUAGGGAUACCCGCUGAACUUAAGCAUAUCAAUAAGCGGAGGA
rnacentral:misc_RNA from 1 species